UACGUAGGGUGCGAGCGUGUCCGGAAUUAUUGGGCGUAAAGAGCUCGUAGGUGGCGGGUCACGUCGGGUGUGAAAGCCCGGGGCUUAACUCCGGGUCUGCAUUCGAUACGGGUCGUGCUGGGGUCCGGCAGGGGAGACUGGAAUUCCUGGUGUAGCGGUGAAAUGCGCAGAUAUCAGGAGGAACACCGGUGGCGAAGGCGGGUCUCUGGGCCGGUACCGACGCUGAGGAGCGAAGCGUGGGGAGCGAACAGG
rnacentral:rRNA from 1 species